CAGCCAUGCGAUGAGUACAAAGCGAACUAUUCUUUUGCCUUUUACUAAAGAAUAUUGUGUACGCCAUAAUUAAGUGGCCUGUGCCAAUUUUUGGAGAGCCCUUUCCAAAGGUCU